UACGAAGGGGCUAGCGUUGCUCGGAAUCACUGGGCGUAAAGCGCACGUAGGCGGACUCUUAAGUCGGUGGUGAAUCCUGGAGCUCAACUCCAGAACUGCCUUCGAUACUGGGAGUCUCGAGUCCGGGAGAGGUGAGUGGAACUGCGAGUGUAGAGGUGAAAUUCGUAGAUAUUCGCAAGAACACCAGUGGCGAAGGCGGCUCACUGGCCCGGUACUGGACG
rnacentral:rRNA from 1 species